GACGAACGCUGGCGGCGUGCCUAAUACAUGCAAGUAGAACGCAGUUGCGAACGGGUGAGUAACGCGUAGGUAACUGCCUCAUAGCGGGGGAUAACUAUUGGAAACGAUAUCUAAUACCGCAUACUGUGAGAUGGACCUGCGUUGUAUUAGCUAGUUGGUGAGGUAAAGGCUCACCAAGGCGACGAUACAUAGCCGACCUGAGAGGUGGAUCGGGCAAACUGGGACGGAGAUAAGGACCAGACUCCUACGGGAGGGAGCAAGAGGGAAUCUUCGGCAAUGGACGGAAGGCUGACCGAGCAACGCCGCGUGAGUGAAGAAGGUUUUCGGAUAGUAAAGCUCUGUUGUUAGAGAAGCGGUAACUAAACAGAAAGGGAAGGCUAACUACGUGCCAGAAGCCGCGGUAAAAA
rnacentral:rRNA from 1 species